rnacentral:rRNA from 1 species
CAAGCCUAAGUACUCCUACAUGACCGAUAGUGAACCAGUACCGUGAGGGAAAGGUGAAAAGCACCCCGACGAGGGGAGUGAAACAGACCCUGAAACUGGACGCCUACAAGCAGUCGGAGGGCGCAAGCCUGACGGCGUACCUUUUGUAUAAUGGGUCAUCGACUUGGUCUAUCUAGCAAGCUUAAGCCGUUAGGUGUAGGCGCAGCGAAAGCGAGUCUUAAUAGGGCGUCAAGUCUGUCGGAUUAGACCCGAAACCGAGUGAUCUAGCCAUGUGCAGGAUGAAGGUGGGGUAACACCCACUGGAGGUCCGAACCAGUGCCCGUUGAAAAGGUCUUGGAUGACGUGUGGCUAGGGGUGAAAGGCCAAUCAAACUCGGAAAUAGCUGGUUCUCCGCGAAAUCUAUUUAGGUAGAGCGUCUCGUGAAUACCCAUGGGGGUAGAGCACUGGAUGGGCUAGGGGGUCCCAACGACUUACCAAACCUAACCAAACUCCGAAUACCAUGGAGUAAUGCGAGGCAGACACACUGCGGGUGCUAAGGUCCGUAGUGAAGAGGGAAACAGCCCUGACCGCCAGCUAAGGUCCCUAAGUUAUCACUAAGUGGGAAACGAUGUGGGAGUGCUUAGACAACCAGGAGGUUGGCUUAGAAGCAGCCAUCCUUUAAAGAAAGCGUAAUAGCUCACUAGUCGAGUCGGCCUGCGCGGAAGAUGUAACGGGGCUAAAACUAUAUGCCGAAGCUGCGGAUUUGCAAUUUAUUGCAAGUGGUAGGGGAGCGUUCUGUAAGCCGAUGAAGGUGUAUUGAGAAGUAUGCUGGAGGUAUCAGAAGUGCGAAUGCUGACAUGAGUAACGACAAAGGGGGUGAAAAACCCCCUCGCCGGAAGACCAAGGUUUCCUGCCCCAUGCUAAUCAGGGCAGGGUUAGUCGGCCCCUAAGGUGAGGCUGAAAAGCGUAAUCGAUGGGAAACGGGUUAAUAUUCCCGUACUUGUUAUAACUGCGAUGGAGGGACGGAGUAGGCUAGGCGAUCGCGGCGUUGGUUGUCCGCGUUUAAGCUAGUAGGCUGAGGACUUAGGCAAAUCCGGGUCCUUAAGGCUGAGAGGUGAUGACGAGCUCUCUUUUGAGUGAAGUCGUUGAUGCCAUGCUUCCAAGAAAAUCUUCUAAGCUUCAGGUUAUAACGAACCGUACCCCAAACCGACACAGGUGGUCAGGUAGAGAAUACCAAGGCGCUUGAGAGAACUCGGGUGAAGGAACUAGGCAAAAUGGUACCGUAACUUCGGGAGAAGGUACGCCGGUUUUGGUGAUGGGACUUGCUCCCUAAGCUGAGGCUGGCCGAAGUGACCAGGUGGCUGCGACUGUUUAUCAAAAACAUAGCACUCUGCAAACACGAAAGUGGACGUAUAGGGUGUGACGCCUGCCCGGUGCCGGAAGGUUAAUUGAUGGGGUUAGCGUAAGCGAAGCUCUUGAUCGAAGCCCCGGUAAACGGCGGCCGUAACAAUAACGGUCCUAAGGUAGCGAAAUUCCUUGUCGGGUAAGUUCCGACCUGCACGAAUGGCGUAACGACUUCCCCGCUGUCUCAAAUGUGGACUCAGCGAAAUUGAAUUGUCUGUGAAGAUGCAGACUUCCCGCGGUUAGACGGAAAGACCCCAUGCACCUUUACUCCAACUUC